GAGAAGAGAAGAGAAGAGAAGAGAAGAGAAGAGAAGAGAAGAGAAGAGAAGAGAAGUAUAUACACAGUCUGUAUUUGACCUCCUGAUGACCAAAAUUAAAGGAAGGAAUAACAUGGACAGAAGAAAAGAGAUGAAGAUGAAGGAGAAAAGAGAUGAGCACAGACAAUGGGAGAAAGGGAAAAAAUAAGGCAAAGAGAAGAAAAGAGAAGAGAAGAAAUGAGAAGAUGUAUGUAUAAUAUAUAACACUGUCUGGGUUCAACCUCCUGAUGAGAACAAUGUGUCCUGAUGUGCAGCCAUUAGCAAUUUCCAGAAGUAAAGGAUUAUCACAGAAGUUAAAGGCAUCUCUUCAAACCUGCUUUAGGAGAGCGUUUGUUCUCCUACACAUGACCUAACAGAUGGAUUUUAUUGGCCAGAGCCACCCUGAUUGACAGGAUGUUCCACUAGAUUUCAGAGCGUGCUUGUGGAUAUUUGUGUUCAUCAUCCACAAGGG